rnacentral:rRNA from 1 species
CGCUGGCGGCGUGCCUAAUACAUGCAAGUCGAGCGGACAGAUGGGAGCUUGCUCCCUGAUGUUAGCGGCGGACGGGUGAGUAACACGUGGGUAACCUGCCUGUAAGACUGGGAUAACUCCGGGAAACCGGGGCUAAUACCGGAUGGUUGUUUGAACCGCAUGGUUCAGACAUAAAAGGUGGCUUCGGCUACCACUUACAGAUGGACCCGCGGCGCAUUAGCUAGUUGGUGAGGUAACGGCUCACCAAGGCAACGAUGCGUAGCCGACCUGAGAGGGUGAUCGGCCACACUGGGACUGAGACACGGCCCAGACUCCUACGGGAGGCAGCAGUAGGGAAUCUUCCGCAAUGGACGAAAGUCUGACGGAGCAACGCCGCGUGAGUGAUGAAGGUUUUCGGAUCGUAAAGCUCUGUUGUUAGGGAAGAACAAGUGCCGUUCAAAUAGGGCGGCACCUUGACGGUACCUAACCAGAAAGCCACGGCUAACUACGUGCCAGCAGCCGCGGUAAUACGUAGGUGGCAAGCGUUGUCCGGAAUUAUUGGGCGUAAAGGGCUCGCAGGCGGUUUCUUAAGUCUGAUGUGAAAGCCCCCGGCUCAACCGGGGAGGGUCAUUGGAAACUGGGGAACUUGAGUGCAGAAGAGGAGAGUGGAAUUCCACGUGUAGCGGUGAAAUGCGUAGAGAUGUGGAGGAACACCAGUGGCGAAGGCGACUCUCUGGUCUGUAACUGACGCUGAGGAGCGAAAGCGUGGGGAGCGAACAGGAUUAGAUACCCUGGUAGUCCACGCCGUAAACGAUGAGUGCUAAGUGUUAGGGGGUUUCCGCCCCUUAGUGC